AAGUCGUAACAAGGUAACCGUAGGUGAACCUGCGGUUGGAUCAUUACCAAAGUAACAAUUAAGAAGCGUAGGGAGUGUUCCUCCCUAUCUUUUUAAUUCACCUUUUGUGAACCUUUUUUUUAAUUUAACUGUUUGGCAGUUUGGCGAAACUGUAACAAGCCGCUGUAUGUGGGCUGCCAAUCAACUAUAUAAACCUAGUAUAUUUUUUUUUUUUAACUUUAAGUGUUCUGAUUUGUGAUCCUCUGGGAUCCACUCCAGAAAUUACCUAAAUUAAAAAACAACUUUUGACAACGGAUCUCUUGGCUCUU
rnacentral:misc_RNA from 1 species